GACCAGACUUGCGCCCCGCGGACCACCCGGCGUUCUCGCCGGUGCACUCUGCGGUGCGCAGGCCAGCAUCGGUUCUCCCAGGGGGACAAAGGCCGCGGGAACGUAGCUCCUUCGGGAGUGUUAUAGCCCGCGGCGGCAUGCCCCUGGGGGGACCGAGGACCGCGCUUCGGCAAGGAUGCUGGCGUAAUGGUCACCAGCGAACCGUCUUGA
rnacentral:rRNA from 1 species